CUCAAGGGUUGGGACUGUGCCUGUGUUCUGGGCACCUGCCCAUGCCUGGCAAUUUGAAGAAGCUCAAUUGCUACAUGUUGAAGGAAUGAAUAAUUGCAUGAGCAACCAUCGAUAAUUGCAUGCUACAACCAUCAAACUUGCAGGGUUCUUCCAUGGAAUAAGUGAGCUUCUGCCUCCCCAGCAGAGAGGGACCUUCCCAGAGAAGAUGUCUUGCGCCUCACCUGAUCUUGUUCUGAGAGUAGGAGACUGGAAGAGAAGCGUUCAACUCCCCAAACACAGCUGGGUUUGUUUCGUUUAAUCUCCCAGCCUGUUUUUCUGCUGUCCUCCUGAAGAAUGUUUAAUCUCACAGUUAAAACCACCAAAAGCGACUUUUUUCCCCCUCAACUGCUCAGUAACACAUGACCGUGCAAAUUCGUUUGGCCCCAGCGCCACAAGUCAUAAAAGGCAUCUAGUGGGCGGCAUGAGUCAAUCAGGCCUUUGGACGGUGACGUAACCACAGCUUGUCAGUUUCCCCAUCCAGGCAGCCCCAAUCCCCCAGUGCAGACAUCUGGAGCCAGGGAUUGACAAGUGGAUUCCAGGAUUGGGCCCUGCCUCCCGCCCUGUUCAGUUCCAGCCCAGCCACGGCCGCCGCCAACGAGGACACGCACUGUCUUUCUGCACAUUCCCACGUACACACACCCCCGCAGCCCCCUCUCCACUCAUUCCUGCAUUUCCGGCAAUGUGAAUUCUGACAGCUCGGGCAGUGUCAGCCUCUCCGGUGCAUUCCUCACCACACCACCUCACUGCUCCCGAGCCUGCUGACAGCACUCCCCGCCAUACCUACCAAGCCGAAGGUGCAAGGAACCUCUUGAUCCCCACUGUGUCUUUGUCCCAGGGCCACAGCAAAAUAGCACCCCCCUCCCCCACACACCCUCUAGCCUAAUUUAUUAGACUUUUAAACACAUUUAUUUACUGUGAUAUCUACACCACACCAAACAUCUGGAGGGAAACCGGGAGACAAUCCACCAGGAAUUUAAAUGUUUGUUCUGCAAUGUAACUUUGAAAACCGAACCAGGAAAACUUGACAUCUUUAGCCAAUUGCUUGGUGGUGAGUAGACUUAAGCCAAUAUAUAAUCUGUAAAGGUUGUCCCUCUUUGCCCUCUCUCUAUCCAUGAAACGCAUUCACCAAACAGCCCAGAAAUAUUUCUUUCUUCUCCUCUCAGAGGUAUGUGAAACCAACCUGAAUCAACAACAUAGUUGUUCAACCAGCCUCACUGAGAACGAAGGCAUUUCAGAGCUGGAAAGACGCUAGGGUCUGGGGUCUUAUCUUCCACAUUUAUCUGCCUUAUUAUAAUCCAUCCAGUCAUCCUCUUUGCCCUUGCCAGAUCUCAUCGCUUACACUACCACUACCGAAGGAGCAUAACGUCUGUGACUUUUCUUUUUUUUUUUUUUUUUUUUUGAGAUGGAGUCUUGCUCGGUAACCGGGCUGAAGUGCAGUGGCAGGAUCUUGGCUUACUGCAACCUCUGCUUCCUGGGUUCAAGUGAUUCUCCUGCCUCAGCCUUCUGAGUAGCUGGGACUCCAGGCAUGCGCCACCACGCCCAGUUAAUUUUUGUAUUUUUAGUAGAGAUGGGGUUUCACUAUGUUGGCCAGGUUGGUCUCGAACUCCUGACCUCGUGAUCCAUCUGCCUCGGCCUCCCAAAGUGCUGGGAUGACAGGUGUGAGCCACCGCACCCGGCCACGUCUGUGACUUUUCUAAAGCUUUAAGAUGAUGUCACCCAUAGGCAGAAAGGCCCACUCAUUUCGUGCAUCUGCAGUCACUCUUCUGACGAGGUGCGGCUCUCUUUUGUUCUAUCAAAGAGAAAGCCAGUCUAAAUUAAUGGGAAACUAGAGAAUUAGGUCAUUUUUCAAGAUGAAAUUGCUGGUAGCUUAAGGAAUCAGCUACUUGAAUCCCAUGCUAAAAAAGUGUAACUCCUGAGGAGUGAGCUCUUCUUUCUUCCUUCCAUAAUGUCAGGCACUAAGGGAGGUUCAGAAACACAGAGCAGCAUCUACUCCUUUCUCAACGAGCGUGGGGUCCAGUGCAGUUGGCCCUCAUUUAACAAAUAAUUACACCCAUGCGUGAAAGGUCCAGUGGGGAAACAGUGCGGGGAGCCUCAGGCAGAGCUGAUUCAGGCCUGGGGAGGCACGGGAGCCACAUGUUCAGGGUCCACAGGCCCAGCGGAGUGAUACGGAAGUUUCCAAGAUGGUAAGCCUCUCUCCUGGCCCAUGCUCACCAACGGGACCCCAUUCCUAACCAGGCUUUCCCUCUCUCUCUUUUAAGUGUUCCAGGAAUGUUCCUACCCCUGCGUCUUUGCUGAAGCCCCUCUUGCCUGGGAUGCCCUCUGUCCUCUCUUUCUGCCCACACACAUCCUGCCAGUCCUUCAGACAGGGCCAGCCUCACGGGCAUAGGACCUGAGCAGUUUCACAGGGCCCUAUGCACAGAAGGAUCCCAAGCUCGGUUGAUUGCUCCGAUCUUGCCAUCUUGAAACUCUUUGAUAAUUUUAUCUUUUAUCUUGUGUUUUGGGAGUGAAAUCCAAUGGGAUAUUGGGGCCUGCAAAGGAGAAGAGGAGAUCCGCACAAACCCGUUCCUGGCUGCUGCAUUCACCUCCAGCGUUUGUGAUGCCCCAGAGCACAGAACUCCAGGGAGCCCACGAUGCAGGAGAGUUCAGCGACAUUCACUGAGUACAAGAGAAGUGAGUUACUCCUGCAGCUGAGCACGGGGGGCGCUGGCAACUGCGAAAGGUCUCGCUUUCCAUUCCAACCAGAACUUGCUCCUAGCGCAGACAGAAGGCCGUGGCAUUCUGAGAAACACACAUGAUGAAGGAGCCCUGUCAUAUCCUCUCUUCCUUGCAUCGCUUCCCCGUGUGAGCAACCACUUGUGCUGGAAAUGAUGACAAGGAAGGACCGGGAAAGACAGGGCCACCCGCAGUUCCUUUUCCUUGACGUCUUUCCUUCCUCAUCAGCGAGCUGAGGUGGAGAGCGUUGGUAGAAUGUGUGCAUAAUAAGAAGUGAAAUAAAAACAGUCGAGUUAGUAUUCUACUGUUUCCACUGUUCUGGUGAGAACAAAACACAUAUGCUGUAUAUGCUUUGAAAUACAAAGACUGUUGGGAGGCACCAAUGGACUUUGCAACUGGAGAUCUCCCAACUGGACCAUGUCACUGUUAUGUUUAAUUUGCACUGUGCACAGUAGGUACCCAGUCAACGUUUGUCGAAUUCCAUGGACUGGGCCUUAUACCUCCGAGGAUUUUUCACAGCAGUAGCAUGUGCACAUGCACAGAACGAGAACACAACCAAUGCUUGUUUGCUGGUGAAGACCUGGUCUCAGUAUUUUGCCCAGGAAACCCUUUCUUCAUGGACAGCAUGAGGCAAGCUAUGGCCCUUGCUGUGGUCUCAGUGGUUCAGCACGGAAGAUGAAGAUGACGGGCAGUCUCAGAAUAUUAGCUUUAGAAGGGACUUUGGAUCCUUUUGAUUUUGG
rnacentral:lncRNA from 1 species